rnacentral:rRNA from 1 species
GAUGAACGCUGGCGGCAUGCCUUACACAUGUAAGUCGAACGGCAGCACGGGAGCAAUCCUGGUGGCGAGUGGCGAACGGGUGAGUAAUGUAUCGGAACGUACCAUUGAGUGGGGGAUAACGUAGCGAAAGUUACGCUAAUACCGCAUAUACCCUGAGGGGGAAAGCAGGGGAUCGCAAGACCUUGUGCUCUUUGAGCGGCCGAUAUCAGAUUAGCUAGUUGGUGAGGUAAAGGCUCACCAAGGCGACGAUCUGUAGCGGGUCUGAGAGGAUGAUCCGCCACACUGGAACUGAGACACGGUCCAGACUCCUACGGGAGGCAGCAGUGGGGAAUUUUGGACAAUGGGGGCAACCCUGAUCCAGCCAUGCCGCGUGAGUGAAGAAGGCCUUCGGGUUGUAAAGCUCUUUCGGCCGGGAGGAAAUCGCAUCAGCUAAUACCUGGUGUGGAUGACAGUACCGGAAUAAGAAGCACCGGCUAACUACGUGCCAGCAGCCGCAGUAAGAC